UGUGGCUACAUCUGCUUUACAUUUUUACCUC
rnacentral:piRNA from 1 species